GUGAGGGUAAGACUAGGGUUCCACUGCCUGGGUUCAAAGCCCAGCUCUAACACGAUGUCACCUUUGGGCAAGUCAUUUAAUCUCUCUUUGUUCUGGGGUGGGUGUGGGGCUGGUAAGAAUGCCUCCCUCAUAAGGCUACUGGGCGGAUUUUGUGAAAUGCAACCGUAGACACCCUGCAUAGCCUUAGUCAAGUCUGCAGUAAACAUUUGCUAUUGCUGUCAUUAUAAUCAGGCCCCCUCCUCCAGGGCUCUUUCCAUAAAAUGACUGCCCUUUGAGCAGAAAUCAUCCCAACUGGAGUUUCAAAGACAGUUGAAUGACCCAAACUCCAACAUUGUAGGUCUCCUGGCUUCUUGGCCAAUCCUGCUGCCCUCGGAGGAAGAAAGGGGCCUUACUUGCACAGUGCAAACAGACAAACGGACACCAACAUCUUUCUGGAGGCCCAGGAGCUGCAUUCAGUGUCCUCACUCUUUCCAUGAAAUAAAGCUGCUAAACACCCCAGGCAUGUAAAGCACUGAAAUGAGUAUCCCGGGUUGCUCUCUGCCAGAAGCCAGGACCACAAAAGACCUUGAGCUGUUAAGUGCCAUGACCUAGACGUGCUGGGCUGUAUUUUUAGCCUCUUGUGCACUGUUUCCAUCACCUGUGCUGGGCUUUCAGCUGGAAAAGAGAAGGUG
rnacentral:lncRNA from 10 species